ACCAUUACAAAUGACAUGCAACAAAGAAGGAGGAAUAAUGGCUCUUGUUGAAAUCUCAUCUGAAAUUUUGACAAGAUUACAUCAAUUUUUCUUCAUAAAAUUAAUAAUAUGAAGGGUUUAGGGGAGGGGGGGGGGGGUUUAGUGAAUCUUGAAAUUGUAUGCACAAGUAAGACAAGUAUACACAAUCCAUCUCUAUUUAUUAAACAUUAUUAAUAGCAGAAACAUAGGAGAAUAAACUAAUAAUUAUAUUUCUCGUGUAUAACUAUAGCAUACAUCAAUUAAUUUUUGUGACAAAACAAAGAAGAAACUAACAUAUUCUUCACAUACAACACAAGCAAGAAAAAAAAGGAAAUGAAAAGAAUAAUAAUAAUUAUCAUAACAAUAAUAAUACUAACAAGUUUUACUAACACCUCUUUUGUAAUAAGAUAAGCAAGAUGCAAUUAAUUCAUCUGUUGGACUCUGGAUUUGCACCACUAGGAACUUCAUGAGCAGCCAUUCCAUAUUGUUGACUCGCCGUCCCGGCCCCACCGUCAUUCGCAGUUGUGGUCGUGGUCGUGGUCGUGGCCGUAGCAGUACUGACAGCUGAUUGCUUAGAAUGAACUUGCAUGGGGUAUUCCUUGCUAGUUUGAGAAUUUUCUAGGAUAAUUCUUCCAUUUGUUGGUAAGGGAAAUGCUUGAAAAUUGAUAGUGUUAGUAGUUGAAAUUAUCAAGAAUAGCCCAAGGAAGAGAAGAAGAAAGAGAGAUUGUGAUAGUUUUGUUUUUGCCAUGAAAAAAGUUGAUUAACAAAGAAAAAUAACCACCCCCCAAUAACCCUAGGGAGAUCAAUAUCCAUGAACCAAAUGAAACCACCAAGAUAGAAAUGCUAAAGGACAAAGAAAUCCAAGAAAUAGGAAAAAGAAAAUUUUAUGCUAUUCUUACUAUGAGAAGAAACUUUAGCUUUCUCAAUUUCAAACCAUAAAGUAAUGUUAUGACUAUCAAGAGUUGCAAUGUUUUCUCAUCAAAAUAGAUGGAUAUAAAUAUGGGAAAUCCUGUGAAACAUGACUUUCUCUUUCAAUUUCCCAUUUUGCCCCUCUAUUUCUUUUAUAAUAUUGGUAUCUGAAGCACCUCAAACACAGCUCAAGUAUUUCACUGGGCAUCUGCUGUCUCCUAUCAGUAUAUAUAUUUAUCGAGUAACUCUGUUCGCCGAUGCUUAAAUAUAUAGGUAAAAAUUACUUCCUCCAUUUCAAUUUAGAUGACACAUUUAGCUUAUCGAGAGUCAAACUGUGUGAAAUUUGACCAAUAUUUUAAAAUAUAUUUUAUUAUCAUAUUAACAUGAGAAAAAUUAAAACUUAUAGUACUUUUUGUGUAGUUUUUGAAUAUCUAAAUUUUAAUUUUAAAAUACUAACUUGUACUAAUUUAAUUUAAUUUUAAAAUUUAGUCAAAUUAACUUUCGAAAUGUAUCGUCUAUAUUGAAACAUUAGUAUUUUCGUCUAAUACAUGAAGUAAGGCUAAGUUUUCAUACAUGUGACGCCCCUACGAGAAUUUAAAGUCAAUUAUACAUAUGUGGGGUUGUAAUUAAUUGGAUUAUUAUAGUCUAAAGAUUAAAGGGAUUUGGUUGACAAAACUUUUAAUUAAAUGACGUCUGAAGAAAUCUAUGUACAGCUCCAUUAUAUCACCAACAAGUCACAUUGACGGUGAUGUUUUGCUGCCUUUUAUAUGGCGCGGAAUUACGUCAGAACUCUCUAUAACAGUAUUUUUAUAUAAUUGUUAUUCAUUAUAAAAGUUGAGUUUUUUCGGACCGAAUAUUAUAUUAUAUUAUAAUAUAUGUUCUCUAUAACAACACUUCACUAUAGCAGCCAAAAAAUUUUGAAACAAACGAGAUUGUUAUAAAGAGGUUUGACUGUAAUUUUACAUUUCAAUGACUUUCCUAAAUUUAAGCAUCCUUUUCUUAGUUCAGUUGCCUCUUUGAGAGAUAACUUAACUUUAUGGUAUUUCUCCCAAAAAUGGAUUCCAAUAUAAUAUAUAGUAUAUUAUUAUUGCCGUCAGGAAAAUUAUUGACGAACCAACGACACCCAAAAUAGAAAUGUAAUUUAUGAAGGUAGAAUAUUUUGUAUCUUUUUAUCGUUUAACAUUCAAUUUUCACUUAUUUCUUCAAAGUACAAGUGAAUUACGUAACAAAUUAGAUAUAGUUACUAACAUAACAAGAGCAUUACUGCCCGUGUUAUUUAUGGAUAUCUCAUAAAUACUAACCAUGCAUAUAUAGUCAAACAUUUCUAUAACAGUCUCGUUUGUUCCGAUAUUUGUUGGCUGUUAUAGUGAAGUGUUGUUACAGAAAAUAUAUAUUAUAACAUAAGAUAAAAGUUGGUUCCAAGAAACACUUAGCUUUAAUAAUGAAUGGAUGUUAUAUACAUAAGGAUGAUGUUAUAGAGAAGUCUGACCGUAUAUAAUUAACACUUAAAAGAAAAUGCAAUUUGUUUCUUUUAGUGCAGCUCACAUAUAUAGGAUAGGAGUAGGAAAAACCACAAUUAAGAUAACUUCACUCAUGAGGGCCAAAACCAUAACACUGUGGUUCAAGUUAUGAUAUUUUACUACAAUUUUUCCUAACGGUAGUAAAACUUGCUGCAACUCGGGUUCGAGCCGUGAAAGUAGUCACUAAUGCUUAUGUUCGGGUAGACUGUCUAUAUCAUACUUUUAGGGUGCGGCCCUUCCCUAAACCAGACGUGAAUAUGAAAUGAUUUAUGCACUGGACUGCCCUAAAUUAGUAAAAAUUGAUGCAACAACUUUUACUUGCAAUUGUAAUAAAUCAAAAUCAUGCAUGAUACUGCAAAUUUUAUAUGAUAUUUCACUACAAAACCUAUUUAUUGUUAAUAAAACCUUCAAUAUUAAGGAUUUAUUUGUAGGCAAUUAAAAUGGUCACUAAAACCUAGUCUCAAAAUCUUUGACACUAGGACUAGGUUGUCCAUUCAAGGGAACAAAAGAUCUACUUGUCUAAUAUGGUAAAGUAAUUUUGUUGGAAAGUAAAAAUAAUAGAACAAGUCAAUGAAAAAAGGGUGAGGGUAGAAUAGGAAAAA
rnacentral:lncRNA from 1 species